AGGCUCAUUUCAGCAGUAUAUAUACUAAAAUUGCAACAAUACAGGGAAGAUGAGCAUGGCCCCUGCACAAGGACGACAUGCCAAUCAUGAAGCAUCCCAUAGUAAA
ensembl:snRNA U6 U6 spliceosomal RNA